rnacentral:rRNA from 1 species
AACGAACGCUGGCGGCAGGCUUAACACAUGCAAGUCGAGCGAUCCCUUCGGGGAUAGCGGCGGACGGGUGAGUAACGCGUGGGAACGUACCCUUCGGUUCAGGAUAGCCCCGGGAAACUGGGAUUAAUACUGGAUACGCCCUUUUGGGGAACGAAGGAUCGGCCCGCGUUAGAUUAGGUAGUUGGUGGGGUAACGGCCUACCAAGCCUACGAUCUAUAGCUGGUUUUAGAGGAUGAUCAGCCACACUGGGACUGAGACACGGCCCAG